rnacentral:lncRNA from 1 species
GACUGUUUAGCUACUUGUCAAAUCACUUGGGUCAGAAUAUCCAUACUAUGAUCUACCAUCACCAGAGUUAUGCCAGCAAAGCUGUUACCAACUGCUAACUGCAUCACACACUAACUAAUUUGAAAGACCUGAGAAAUUACACAAAUGCCCCCUGAGGUGGUCUGCUGGAGGCUUUUCACAUUCCAUGUCACACUGUUGCAAAUAGAGCUAGUAGCCACUAGAGGGAAGGAGACUGCUGGCUUUCCCAAGUGUUUCACCGUGGAGCAUGAAGGUGAAGAAGCUGUCACAGGACUGGUUGCCCAAGGAAAAUCUUUAAAAUAUGGUGGUAUGAAGUGCAUGCUGUAGAAUCAGAUUCUUGCCUGCCCUCUUCCUACUGAGACACUUUUUGUGGGGUGUAUAACCAGUGGCAGCAAUUGCUGGAAGCCUCAACAAAAGGACCAACUCUGCACCACUAAAUCAUCACCUGCUAAUAGAAAUGUUGGUUUCAAUCACACUAUGAAUUCAAUUAUUUAUUAAAAUUCAGUUAUUUUAACACCUGUGCUGUGUGUGGCUAAGUACAUCUGGUAUCUGCUUGGAUAUAUCUCUGCAGGUUUCUUAGCAAGGAUACAGAAGUGCAUCACCAUUGCCUUCUACUGAGGAGAUGUUGGCGAUUAAAAUGGAACUUCUCCAAGCAAAGCAAAUGCUCGUUUAACUGAGCUAUGAGAUCACCCACUUCGUGUGUGUUGGAUUUGAAUACGGAAUAUCUUUAUUUGUUGGGUGAUUUAUUUAAUCAUGAGUGUGUGGAAUGAAAAGCAUAUUAAGAUACCUGCUAAAGGGAAAGAGGAAUAAUGUACUUUGAUAUUUUUACUAAAGGACAAAAAAAAAUCCCUUUAUGAAUUGUUCACAGCUGUCAUAAAGAAUUCAUUGGGCUCAAUGAAGGUAGACAUUACUAACAAAGUCCAUUUAAAUGAAAGGCUGUACAGUCCUAUGUGUUCUCAUGGACUGAACCUAAU